rnacentral:rRNA from 1 species
AGAGUUUGAUCAUGGCUCAGAUUGAACGCUGGCGGCAGGCCUAACACAUGCAAGUCGAGCGGUAGCACAGAGAGCUUGCUCUCGGGUGACGAGCGGCGGACGGGUGAGUAAUGUCUGGGAAACUGCCUGAUGGAGGGGGAUAACUACUGGAAACGGUAGCUAAUACCGCAUAACGUCGCAAGACCAAAGUGGGGGACCUUCGGGCCUCAUGCCAUCAGAUGUGCCCAGAUGGGAUUAGCUAGUAGGUGGGGUAACGGCUCACCUAGGCGACGAUCCCUAGCUGGUCUGAGAGGAUGACCAGCCACACUGGAACUGAGACACGGUCCAGACUCCUACGGGAGGCAGCAGUGGGGAAUAUUGCACAAUGGGCGCAAGCCUGAUGCAGCCAUGCCGCGUGUGUGAAGAAGGCCUUCGGGUUGUAAAGCACUUUCAGCGGGGAGGAAGGCGNCGAUUGACGUUACCCGCAGAAGAAGCACCGGCUAACUCCGUGCCAGCAGCCGCGGUAAUACGGAGGGUGCAAGCGUUAAUCGGAAUUACUGGGCGUAAAGCGCACGCAGGCGGUCUGUCAAGUCGGAUGUGAAAUCCCCGGGCUCAACCUGGGAACUGCAUUCGAAACUGGCAGGCUAGAGUCUUGUAGAGGGGGGUAGAAUUCCAGGUGUAGCGGUGAAAUGCGUAGAGAUCUGGAGGAAUACCGGUGGCGAAGGCGGCCCCCUGGACAAAGACUGACGCUCAGGUGCGAAAGCGUGGGGAGCAAACAGGAUUAGAUACCCUGGUAGUCCACGCCGUAAACGAUGUCGAUUUGGAGGUUGUGCCCUUGAGGCGUGGCUUCCGGAGCUAACGCGUUAAAUCGACCGCCUGGGGAGUACGGCCGCAAGGUUAAAACUCAAAUGAAUUGACGGGGGCCCGCACAAGCGGUGGAGCAUGUGGUUUAAUUCGAUGCAACGCGAAGAACCUUACCUGGUCUUGACAUCCACAGAACUUNNNNNNNNNNNNNNNNNNNNNNNNNNNNNNNNNNNNNNNNNNNNNNNNNNNNNNNNUUGGUGCCUUCGGGAACUGUGAGACAGGUGCUGCAUGGCUGUCGUCAGCUCGUGUUGUGAAAUGUUGGGUUAAGUCCCGCAACGAGCGCAACCCUUAUCCUUUGUUGCCAGCGGUUAGGCCGGGAACUCAAAGGAGACUGCCAGUGAUAAACUGGAGGAAGGUGGGGAUGACGUCAAGUCAUCAUGGCCCUUACGACCAGGGCUACACACGUGCUACAAUGGCAUAUACAAAGAGAAGCGACCUCGCGAGAGCAAGCGGACCUCAUAAAGUAUGUCGUAGUCCGGAUUGGAGUCUGCAACUCGACUCCAUGAAGUCGGAAUCGCUAGUAAUCGUAGAUCAGAAUGCUACGGUGAAUACGUUCCCGGGCCUUGUACACACCGCCCGUCACACCAUGGGAGUGGGUUGCAAAAGAAGUAGGUAGCUUAACCUUCGGGAGGGCGCUUACCACUUUGUGAUUCAUGACUGGGGUGAAGUCGUAACAAGGUAACCGUAGGGGAACCUGCGGUUGGAUCACCU